CCACAUGGAGAAAAAAGGGAAUCACACACCUCAGCAAUGACUGAAAAUUGAUGGUCAGGAAUUUUUUUUUUUAAAAUCCUUCCAGGAUGAAGCGGGUGGUGAUUGAUAUAGAUAGUUAGAUAAGCCUUGUCUUUGUCAGGUUUUUCUUUUUCAGGUAAUGGAGAGAGAGCAGCCAGAAGAGGGAGACUCACAAGAGUAUCGAUGGACAUUUAUCUGAAACAGGGAGGGCUCUGUUGGUGCUGGCCUUUGUCUUUUGCAGGUUGGAGUAGAGCAGAAGAAGGAGACUCACAAGGGGAACAGUGUAUAUAUACUUAAAGACCUGGAGCUCAGCAAACAGAUUGGCAUGGAGCAUGUGGAGAAACAGGGAAACACACCUCAGUAAUGACAAACUGGAGUGCAGCAUGUGGAGAAAAAUAGGAAUCACACACCUCUGCAAUGACUGGAAAUGGAUGAUCAGGAAUGUCCUUCAAAAGCAGAAGGAUGGGUGCAUAGAUGGAUGUCCUUUCAAGAGGAAGGGGGUGGAGGCAGCUGAAUCGGAAGUUCUAAAACAAUCGCAAAAACGCACGCACUUCCGCAUUGAAGAAUAAGGCCAAUACACUGGACUACAAACCAACAGGAACUGAGAAAGCUGCUACAACAAGUUUGAGAAAAUACUGAAGUUCAAGUUUUGCAUGAACAUUGAGGCUGUCCUUGAGGCAAAGGCUGGCCCAGCAAAUUAUUGAUAGUUAUCAUGACGAUUUUGUUCCGUUUAACUGUGAAGUACUGAGAAAUUGCCAUAAUUUUAUUACCAUUUUUCUAAACUACAGCAAAUAAACUGAUGACGUUAAAGACAUGGAAGGUUGUUACAGUCCCUGUCUUGUCCUAGUGUUUGUUUUGCCCUUGUGUUUUUUCAUUCCAGCCACUCCCCGUCAGUUUAGCUUUCCCCACUUUCCUUAGUUACAAUUUGCCUUGGAUGUUUAUUGUCUGUACCAUGUUGCUAUCCAAUUUACUCACUAUGCCUUUGUCUGAUUCACUGUUAUAUAUGCUUAUUAUAUAUUUUAGCUUGCUUUUUCUUGUUUCCUUUGGUUUUGAAGCACUCAAAAAUUGACGUUUGCUGUUUGUAAAACUACUUCAAUUCAAUUCAAUUCAAUUCACCUUUAUUUGUAUAGCGCUACCUGUAUAAAAUGAGCUAAAACAACACAAUACUUGAGGUUGUUUUUGGGACUACCUAUUUGUUUUAUGUUCAAUCCACUUACAUUCAUAAAAGCUUAAAAAAGUUACCUUAAUUCCUGAAUUAAAGCAAUUGUGUGGAACCCAGCAUUUUUUACAGUGAGGGUUUAAAGAAACUAAUUGUUUGGCUGCAUUCGGACAUUGCUCGCUACAUCCAUCAACCUGCUACACGCCAGAUGUACAAUAUAUUAAUACAUUUCUAAACACAACAGUUUUUUCAAAACGUUGAUUAUUAAUAUAUUUUAGGGGCAGAGGGCCCUGAGUAGGGGCAGAGUUUUAUUGUCAGCUCCUCCUCUCAUUUUUUACUCGCAGCAAACUCAUGGCUGGAGGGGCGUGGCCAUGCAUGUUUCACCAAUUCAUCGAACAGACAUCAUCAGAGAAGGACUGCCAUUACAGAGAGGAAGCAAGUAGUUAAGAUUUUGAUUAAAAAUGACUUCUUUAUUUGUGCUCUGGGACUAAGUUCAUUAGCAUUUGGUGUCAUUUUAUAAAUUAUCUUCAAUACCAUUUAUAAAUGCAUAGGGACAACUUGAUACAACUAUGUUUUCUCUGGAAUUUGAGGGAAUAGUGUCCCUUUCGUUUAUUUCUCUUUUUAUUUAUGUCAUGUUAUAGUAAAUAUGCUAUAAUGUCAUCAUGUAAAUAAAAUAUUUAUUUCAUUCACUCAUUUUCCUUCGGCUUAGUCCCUUAUUUAUUAGAGGUCGCCAUAGCAGAAUGAACCGCCUACUAUUCUGGCAUAUGUUUUACACAGCGCAUGCCCUUCCAACUGCAACCCAGUACUGGGAAACAUCCAUACGCACUCAUUCACACACACAUACACUAUGGCCAAUUUAGUUUAUUCAGUUCACCUAUAGCGCAUGUCUUUGGACUGUGAGGAAACCAGA